AACGAACGCUGGCGGCGUGGAUUAGGCAUGCAAGUCGUGCGCGAAAGUGGUAGCAAUACUGCGAGUAGAGCGGCGAACUGGUGAGUACAAGGUGACUAACGUGCCCCUGAGUGGGGGAUAACCCACCGAAAGGUGGGCUAAUACCGCAUGAUCUCCGGAGUGCCUCGGCAUUCUGGAGCAAAGCAGUGAUGCGCUUAGGGAUCGGGUCACCCCCCAUUAGCUAGUUGGUGGAGUAACAGCCCACCAAGGCUUCGAUGGGUAGCUGGUCUGAGAGGAUGGUCAGCCACACUGGGACUGAGAUACGGCCCAGACUCCUACGGGUGGCUG
rnacentral:rRNA from 1 species